CCUAACUGUUCCUGUAAGUCACUCUGGAUAAGAGCGUCUGCUAAAUGACUAAAA
rfam:Salmo salar isolate Sally breed double haploid chromosome ssa19, whole genome shotgun sequence.